UACGUAGGGUGCAAGCGUUAAUCGGAAUUACUGGGCGUAAAGCGUGCGCAGGCGGUGAUGUAAGACAGAUGUGAAAUCCCCGGGCUCAACCUGGGAACUGCAUUUGUGACUGCAUCGCUGGAGUGCGGCAGAGGGGGAUGGAAUUCCGCGUGUAGCAGUGAAAUGCGUAGAUAUGCGGAGGAACACCGAUGGCGAAGGCGGCCCUCUGGAUCGUUGCUGACGCUGAGACGCGAAAGCGUGGGGAGCAAACAGG
rnacentral:rRNA from 1 species